rnacentral:rRNA from 1 species
GACGAACGCUGGCGGCAUGCUUAACACAUGCAAGUCGAACGGAACGUCCCUGCUUUUGUGGGGUCCUCGAGUUGCGAACGGGGGAGUAACACUUAGGUACCGUACCAUUGCCUUUAGGGUAACUUCAUAACACUUGGGCUCAUACGGGCUAAGAUCUCCCGCUGUAUGGUGGGGGUGGGAUGGUUUCGGCGGUUGGGAAUGGACUCGCGUCUUAUCAGCUUGUUCGUGGGGUAGUGGAUUACCAUGGCCUUGACGGGUAGCCGGGCUGCGAGGGGGACCCGACACAUUGGGACUGAGAUACGGCCCAGACUCCUAUGGGAGGCAGCAGUGGAGAGUAUAGCACUAUGGGAGGGAGCCUGAUGUAGCAACGCCGCGUGCGGGAUGACGGCAAUCGGGUUGUAAUCCGCUGCCGCCUGUGACGAAGCGUGAGUGACGGUAAUGGGUAAAUAAGCACCGGCUAACUACGUG